rnacentral:misc_RNA from 1 species
AUUCAGUAGCUUGCUACUGUUAGGAGGUGCUGUUAGUCCGCAUAGUUUAAUUACUGAUGAGCGGCAGGCCCUCUGUUUGUACCCCUGUCUUUUGCGCACUCAUGUUUCCUCGGCGGGCUUGCCCGCCGAUUGGACAAACUUAACCUUUUUAAUUUUCAAUCAGCGUCUGAAAAAACUUAAUAAUUACAACUUUCAACAACGGAUCUCUUGGUUCU